AAGAAAAACAUGUAUUUAAUCAAUUUUACAAUAAGGCUGUAACGUACAAAAUGUGGAAAAAGUAAAGUGGUCUGAAUAGUUUCUGAAUGCACUGUAUUUACAGUUGCUAUGUUAUCAAACCUUAUCUAACCCUGGUGUCUAAACCUGGUGUCUUUCCCUGUGUUGUGUCCCUGUCAACGGUUUUGUCCAGUUGAAGAGCCUGUCCUUCCAGUCAGCUGUUAGACCCUCAGAACCAGACUACCUGUCCUCCACCACCAUCUCUUCUGGCAGCUUCGCCACUGACCCUGAACACACCUCCACCAAAAUAGGUUGUGUGUGUGUGUGUUUGGCUUGUUUACUCUUUUCUGCUCUUGGCUGGGUUUGGAAGAGGGAAAAAAUCAUUUGUAAUGGCUCCUCUUCGCGAAGACGCAGUUCCUGUAGGGACGUAUCUGGUCCUGGGUCUCCCAUCUCAGACUCACUCCUAAACAGCAGCAGUAUCCAGCGCAUCAUAGACAAAUAUACCAGGGAGCUCAACCUCUCUCUGUUCUGCUGGGAACCAGAUGGUGAUAGAGGGGUCAGUGUUUGAGGAGCCCAGCUUCUGUGUCCCAGCAACAGCAGAAGCAGAAGCCCUGGUCAAAGCAACUGCAGGAGAAUGAGGGACCAGACAGGUCACCUGUGUGGGGGGCCGACCCACACACUCUCCCCUUGGACACGGAGUCAGGAGCUCAGAGGCACGACCAAGUGGAUUCAUUCACACCCUCACACUCCAUUCAAUGGCAAUAUGGGUUCAAGAGUAAAUACCCAAAUUUUGUUGUUUUAGUAUCAACAUUAUAUAUAUAUAUAUAUAUAUAUUAGUCAAUGUCCAUUUCAGGAAUGGGACACUGUCAACCGAGGCAGGACUCCACUAUCAGUCCAAUGAUUGGCCAGCCCUUGGAUAAAUCAUCCUCACCGGGCCACAGGUGGGACUUGACUUAGCCGAAUGAUUGGCCAGCUCUCAGGUCAAUCAACCUCACUGGACCAAGGGUGGGAUUUGACUUUGAGCAGAAUGAUUGGCGGACUCUCCAAUCAGUCAACCUCUGUGAGCCAGCUGAUUGGUCAGAUUCGACUGGACCAGUCAUCCCAGUGGCUGGAUAAAGGCCAGGAUGAGAGCCAGAUGAUGGGGCCUCUGGUUGGAGAGCUGGAUGAGCCUGCUGCCCAAUGGAGUUGGAGCUCAGGAGCUGAUGGGUCUAACUCCCUAGGCUGGGUGGAUCUGAGAGGCUCAGGCCAGACAGGAGUGUCAUCUGACCAAGAGGGAGCCCCUGAAGCCCAUUCACAGAGCAGCUCCUUUCCCCCUGGACUAGAACCUCUGCCACACUACCAGUGCCUGCAGCGCUCUGGCACCAGUUCCCAGGAAGUAGACAGGACUGGGGUCACACACAACGAGACAGCUGAACCUCCAUGACCUUUCACCUUCCAGAAGAGGAAGUGGAGGGGGCCAUGUUCCCACGAAGAAGAAAGUGACCAUGAAGCACUUGCAGGGGACCUUGAACUCUCUGCAUGCUCAGAGGAGUUUGUGGAUGACACUUGGUCUGUCACCUCUGACCCCUCUCCUGAGUGCCUGAGAGGAGGGGAGGAACCACCUCAGCUCUCGCCUACCCUGCACGACUCCUUGUACCAGCUGACCACGUCCCAGUGCCUCCCUCAUAACUCUGCUCUGGAUGUAUCCCCAGGAGCAGAGGUGGGGGGGUAUGGCAGCAUGUUCCCUCUCAGGCUCCUCUCUCUGUGAAGAUGUCCCCACUUUGGACAAGCCACUUGAAGGCAGGGACACUGAUAUGGAGAGCACACCAGCACCUCAGACAGUUGACCAAGGAGGUGCUAUUAUUAAGGACCUGGGUGCAGGAGAGCCGGAUGCCCAGCUAUGUUCAGAGUCAAAGAUCAGGCCUCCCAUCUGGGAGAGAAUAAUGGUGGGCAGUGUGAAUGGGAUAAUGGACGAUUCCAUGCUGACCCUGGUGAGCCUGACAGACACCACAUUAAAGGACCACGGACUUGCUGAGGAAGGAGAGAUGGAUGAGGUAUCAGACCAAGAAGGCAUUGUGGAGAAGGAAUCCGAGUGGACAGUGUUGCCAGAGGAGGAUGCCAGCCUACAGGAGGAAGAGACAACCCCCUCUCAUGCAGGUGAGAACCAGAAGACCUGAAACUUCUGACUCUUCUCUCUUUCCUUCUGAGUCCUUUCUUGGUCUGAAGGUUGGGGAGGUGAGGAUCAGCACUCCUGAGAUGAGGAAACAGGAUGUGGCUGACAUGCGCCAGAGAACAGAGAGGUUGUACAGCUAACUAGAUGAGGUGAAGCUUCAGAAGGAGGUCAGGAGCAGACAGGAGGCAUAUGCCAAAGAGUUUCGCAAGAAAACCUUACAGAAGCUACGGGCCAAGCAGUCUCCACAAUGAUACUGAAUAUCAGUUUUAUCUGUUGUGUGUUCUGUUUGCACUUAUUUUGUACUUCCAUGUGUAUUUGUACAGUUUAAUCAGUAAUGUAAAAUAUAUUUUUAAAGUGUGUAUAUAAUCUUUAUUCAGUCUAUUCAUCACAACUUACUACUGUGUUCACACAACAAAAGCAGCCAGUGCACUAUUGCACCUUGAAUACUGCAGAUACACACAUUGCAUUAUGAGAAUGUUAUGUUGCCUGUAAAAAUAUUUUUGUUUUAGGUUUUUAUAGCCAAUAAAGUUGCUUGUUGAUGA